rnacentral:rRNA from 1 species
UGGGGAAUCUUGCACAAUGGGCGAAAGCCUGAUGCAGCAAUGCCGCGUGAGUGAUGAAGGCCUUCGGGUUGUAAAUCUCUGUCGGAUGGGACAAAUGAGUUUACGUCUAAUAAGCGUAGACAGUGAUGGUACCAUCAAAGGAAGAGGCGGCUAACUCUGUGCCAGCAGCCGCGGUAAUACAGAGGCCUCGAGCGUUGUUCGGAAUUACUGGGCGUAAAGGGAAUGUAGGCGGUGACGUAAGUCAGAUGUGAAAGCCCUGGGCUUAACCCGGGAAGUGCAUUUGAUACUGCGUUGCUAGAGUGCGAGAGAGGAAAGUGGAAUUCCCAGUGUAGGGGUGAAAUCCGUAGAUAUUGGGAGGAAUACCGAUGGCGAAGGCAGCUUUCUGGCUCGUAACUGACGCUGAGAUUCGAAAGCGUGGGUAGCAAACAGGAUUAGAUACCCCGGUAGUCC